GUGGAGGCCGUGCUGUAAUGGCUGCCGGACGGCUCGGUGCUGCUUCGUGCGGGCUGCGUGCCCCGCUGUGAGGGCCGGCUUGAGCUGAGCAUCUGGCUUGCACAAAGGCACCAAGGCUAAGGCAGGUCCACCUGUGUUUUCUGCAGAGGAUUUCUCUCGGUACUCUUAGGGAAGAAAAAGGCUUUGAAGCUGCUGACAUAAGCACUCAGUCCCUCCUGGUUCUCUGCUUGUCCUGCACUUCUCUCAAUAGCAGAUAAAUGACCACAGGGAGAAACUGCUCACAGACCACCCGCAUCUGCUCUGAACAGACUCACCUUCAUUUACAGAAAUAAGUGCACUGGCAAGGGCUUGACUCGUGUCAUCACCCAAGGUGAUGUUUAUACAGUACGUUCCAGGUUCAUCAAAAGCUCUCCUAAUGGUAACAACAAAGUCAACCAGUGGAUUUUCAGCUUCACUUUCUGUCAACUGGAUGCUUGUCAUCCGAAUAAUAUUUACCUCAAGGAUUCCCUCUGGGAGAGGAAACAGAUGUCAACAGUAGGACACAUGACAAGCUUGUGUGUACAGAACCUCAAGUGUUUGGCUGAUGCUCAGGGAAGAGCCAGAAGGACAGCACCACAGAACAGGCAGGAGCUGCUUCUCUCUUGAUGUUUUAUCGUCCAGUGAGAUGGCUGCUGGUCUGGGAGGGCAUCCCUUGGCCAGUCCCAUGUCAGUGGUCACCUCAAAGCAAGCAGAUUUCUCCCUGGUCUCCUGAGGCUUCAGGACUAAAAGGUACAAGGAACAGUCUACAGAUGUUAUGAGACAUAUUCUCCUAUACAUUUUUGCCCUACAGGAACUCCUUGCAAUCUCACUUAAAUAUCUUGAAUCAAGACUUCCCUGAAGAUUCAAGAUAUUUUGAUGUGAGCAGAGAAGAACAUCAUGACCUGUAUUUCCUCUUGGCUUGUAUCACAUGCUGUAUUAUGUUGACUCUUUGUCAGAGUUGGGUAAUAUUGUCCCCCAGGAAAAGAAAAGCAGAUUAGAAGCUAUAAAAACCAUAAAAAUAUUUCACAAAAGCUUUUUGUGCUUAAUCACAUGUUAUGUCAAGAAAUUAAUGUCAUCUUAUUUGAAAGUAAGUGGUUAUGAAUUUUAUCCUUUUUUUUCCAUUCUCUUUGACUUUAUCUAAAAAUUGUGUGAUGAAUAAAAAUGUUUUGAUUUUGCCCAAUCAAAACAUUUCAGUCAUUUUUUCCCCAAAUAUUCAGUUCAUCAAAAUGAGCUGGAAAAGUUCUAAUUUUAUAAAUGCUUUUCAUUUUGAAUUGCCAUCUUUGAAUUCAGAAGUCAUUUUUCCUGUCCAGCUUUAGUAAUAGCUGUGGUCACUGCUUCUAGAUCACGAGCUCCUGAGGCAUUUCUGUGCCUCCCCGUUGUGCUUUGUUUAUUUCAAUCAAAUAUAAAACAUUUCACAAGAGCUUCAGGACAAGACAAAGACAUUUUUAAGAUGAGAAAAUGCUUCACCACUAGUUCAGCUAACACAUGGAACUGAAGAUUUUCCACUGCUGAAUUAAAGGAAUGGGAAGCUUUAAUGUAUUUCUUCUGUAACAAUGAAAAACACUCAAGCACAGAUGUUGGUCGUAACAUGAAAUUAGAGCAGUUUAAUUCAAAAUAGAUGGGCUAAUAAUACAAUCUAAGGAAAUGAUUACUGUAACAGUUUUGGUGAGGUGAUCAUAAGAGAAGAGAUCACACUCUGGUGGACGUUCUUCUUUCUCAUUCUGGUUCUCAUUUUGGUGAAAAACACAGAGAAGACAAGUUCAGCAUUUCCUGUGCUGGUGUGUUAGCCACGAAAGGGAGAAAGUCAGCGUUAGAACAGCAAUAAAAAGAUGGCAUAAUUAAAAAGCAGAACGUAAGAAGGCUGAUGUUAUGGCCAAGCUAAGAAGAGAGAAAAUGACGUAAACUUUCUAACGUUGCAUGUGGAAACAUAAUAAAGUGGGACAAAAGAGAACUUGAGAAACAACUUACAAAAAUGUAAAACUUACUAAUUAAUUGUUUUAAAUACAGAAGUAGUAGAAAGCCUGCCAGAAAGUCGGUAGGGUGAAUAGAGGGUAUAGAUACAAAAAAGCAACAUUUAGGGAAGAUAAAGUGGUGGCACAAAAAUAAAAAUAUGCUCGCUGACAUUUUCAUGCUCAAUGGAAGAGCCUAAGAGACUUCUGUGCCAGAAUUUUCUUCACAGCGAUGGAGAAUCUCUCUCAAAGUGAAGAAAAAAGAUAGAGCAAAUCAAAUCAAAAAGCCGUCUGGAUCAGGUGGCUCAAAAGGUGUGGAAGCUGUUCAAGAGUGAAAUAAAUGAAGUGUUCACCAUAACGUGUAACGUCUUGCUCCAAGCUGCUUCAGUGGUCAUGAAACAAAAGUUGGCAACUGUGCUGACAGUUCUUAAAACAUUUCCAGGGAAGAUUUAGAGGAUUAUAAAAGGCGUGAUGCUCAAAUUGGACAAGCUGGUAGAAACAGCAGUGAAGAACAGAGUUGUCAGAAACAGCAAAUUAAUAUGAUGUGCCGUAAAGGAGCGCAUUCCUCGCAAAUACAUUCAAGUUUUGCCAAAGGAGCUGGAGAGCAGGUGAUCAAGGCUGACUGGGUUGAUACAGAACUGUUUGUACAGCACGAGAGCUUCUAAUCUACUAUUGCCACUUGAAAAUGAGAUCUUGUAUCUUUACAGUUUUGAAUACGGUGCUCAGGAAUAGUUGAAAAAAUAGGUAAAGGUUAAAGAGCAAAGAUGAAAACAUUGUUGGAGCGCUGUGUAAUUCCCCACGUGCUAGUUCAUGUCUUGAAUACUGCAUGCUGCUCUGAUCUUUACAGCAUGAGCAGGGCAUCAGAGAAGUGAAAAAUACAGAGAAAGGUGCCAAAAGGAUGGAAUUGUUUCCAGAUGAGGAACAAGCAGAUAGCCUAGAGAGUGGGUGACAGGUGAUUCUGUUAAAACCGAAUCGUGAACAGCAUGGAGGAAGAAGCGUUUUUUCACUGUUUCUGAAAGUCCAGGAGCUAAGGAGAGUAAACGAACCUAGCAGUUGAUAGGUUCUAAGCACAGAAAAUACACUUAUUUCUUCAAGUUAGGCACAGUUUGGCUGUGACAUUUCUUGCUGGUUCAAAAUAUACAUGGGCUACCACCAGAACUAGAGUGCACAAACUGAUGGGGGAGAAAUCCUGUUAAAUGCAAUGGUUUUACAUCUGGCCGAGGAAGUUCUGAUGCUAUACACCAUCAGAGUCUGGGAAAGUACCCAUUAAAUACAGGUAUAAGGCUAGAGAUAUGCUCAGCCUGACCUCAGUUGCUAAGGCCUUCAGUUUCCUUCUUGCAGACUCUGGAACUUGACCCCCAGUUCCCAUUUUGGGUUACCAGCACUGAGCUCAGUGAGUCAGUAAGACUGGAAAUCAAGCUGGGAGUCUGGGAAGAAGCCAAGGACCAAGCCUGACCACCACAGCUGGAGGGUCUAAUUCCUGGACUCCUGGUGUCCUGGAGCUCUGGCAGCCUCACCCAGCCAAGCAAACUACAAGAAAUCCAUCCUGCCUCUGCCUUUCUGGCUAUAGUUGAGCCAAAGAAAUAUUGUUUGAAAUUUGAGAAGAUGAACCAAGGCUCAGCUGUUUACCCGUGGAGCACAGCAAACAGCUCUUGGCAUUUUUCUGCAGCUCAGUAUAGCUUCAGCAAUCACUACACAUCAGGGAGCAAAUAGGUUUUACAGCACCAUCGCAGGACAGGAGGGAGGAAGGGGUGAGGGAGGCAGGCACUCACGCAUGGCAGCAGCACA